UUGUGACCACAUCAUGUUGAAACACCAGUUCCUGUACAAACACUAAAGUUAAGCAACAAUGAAUCUGAUCAGUACCUAGAUGGGUGACCACUUGGGAAUACCAGGUGCUGAAA